GACGAACGCUGGCGGCGUGCUUAACACAUGCAAGUCGAACGGUGAAGCGCCUUCCUUUUUGGUGGGUGUGGAUGAGUGGCGAACGGGUGAGUAACACGUGAGUAACCUGCCCCCUUCUUCUGGAUAACCGCAUGAAAGUGUGGCUAAUACGGGAUAUUCUGGGUCUGUCGCAUGAUGGGUCUGGGAAAGAUAUUGUUUCGGUGGGGGAUGGGCUCGCGGCCUAUCAGCUUGUUGGUGGGGUGAUGGCCUACCAAGGCGGUGACGGGUAGCCGGCCUGAGAGGUGGGAGGCUAACAGGGGGAGUGGGACCCGGCCAGGCCGCAUAGGGGAGGCAGCGGGGGGAAAUAUUGCAAAAGGGGGGCAACCCGGAGCCAGCGCCGCCGGGGGAGGGUGGGGGCCCUUGGGUUGGGAACCCUCUUCCGCAGGGGAGGCGGCCCGGCCUCGUUGGGGGGGGGGUGGCGGGCAGUGGAAAAAGAAGCGCGGGCAAACAACG
rnacentral:rRNA from 1 species